CAGAAGAAACAUAUCUGAAUGUAACAGAUGCAAAUAACAGGUGUGGGAUUUUACCUUUACCACCUGCUUAAUAAGACAUCCUUGAGAUGUCUCGUUGACCACUAUGGAGAAAAGAAUAUUGGAUGUUACGAUUCCUUCUUCUAAUCCAGCAGCACUCUUCUCAUGCUGUUCACAAAGCCAAGCCACAACUGAAACCUAGUCUGGGGAUAAUAAGGCUCGAAGGCUCUUGCUUUAACCACUGUUCACAUUUGUUUCUGUUAAGUGUUUUGCUACAAAGCCCUUGUGGCUGUUGUUGUAGGGCGCAGGGCCGGAGCAUGGAGGGAAUGGGAGGGGAGAGGCAGCUGCUGCCGAGACCCAGUUUCAAGGGCGAGAGUUUUUGGGAGUUACACCCGGCUGCUGCUGCCGGGAGUGAGUAAGCCAAGGGAGCGGGUGUUUGAGCAGAAGGAGAAAAGGUCUUUUUAUAGUAUACAGAAGACGAUAGAUUCAUGGAACAUCAAGCAAUGCAGAGGUGCAGCUGGCCAUAUAUGGUGUGUAUGCAGAUGGUCACCGCUUAGUAACUGCAGCCAGCUUCCCAUGACAUAACACGACUACUUGAAAUAUGGUG